rnacentral:rRNA from 1 species
CCUACGGGAGGCAGCAGUAGGGAAUCUUGGACAAUGGGCGAAAGCCUGAUCCAGCCAUGCCGCGUGUGAUGAAGGCCUUAGGGUUGUAAAGCACUUUCGCCAGGGAAGAUAAUGACGGUACCUGGAUAAGAAGCCCCGGCUAACUUCGUGCCAGCAGCCGCGGUAAU